AUUGAACGCUGGCGGCAGGCCUAACACAUGCAAGUCGAGCGCGCGGCGGACGGGUGAGUAAUGUCUGGGAAACUGCCUGAUGGAGGGGGGUAACUACUGGAAACGGUAGCUAAUAUCCCAUACCAUCAGAUGUGCCCAGAUGGGAUGAGCUAGUAGGUGUGGUAACGGCUCACCUAGGCGACGAUCCCUAGCUGGUCUGAGAGGAUGACCAGCCACACUGGAACUGAGACACGGGCCAGACUCCGACGGGAGGCAGCAGUGGGGAAUAUUGCACAAUGGGCGCAAGCCUGAUGCAGCCAUGCCGCGUGUAUGAAGAAGGCCUUCGGGUUGUAAAGUACUUUCAGCGGGGAGGCGUUACCCGCAGAAGAAGCACCGGCUAACUCCGUGCCAGCAGCCGCGGUAAUUC
rnacentral:rRNA from 1 species